rnacentral:lncRNA from 1 species
AGGAUGUUAUAAUAUGGACGUAGAAUGUCAUAAUUUUUUCAAAAAGCAGAGAUAUUUUCAUCAUACAAAAUUUUAAAUAAAAUAAUCGAUCUGCAGACAUUAAAUGUACAUUGAAAAGUGAUGACUAUAUGGACCAAUCGGAUGAGGCAAUGCACUCCAUAUUAGAUUUUCUACACCACCCGCAGUACACAAAGAAUUUUGCAUGCGAAAUUAUAUAGGAUGGCCCCAUA